UUGGAACCACAAGUAGUAUCUGUCGAAAAUCACCACCAAAAACAACAACUUUGCCACCAAAUAUUUUAUCUGAGUCUGUGUAUUCGCUCAUGAUAUCCUUCAAUGUUCUGUCCAAAGCCUGAAAGCAAUAUUUGUGAGUCAUUGGUGCUUCGUCCCAUAUAAUCAAUUUGGUUUGUUGUAGUAACUCAGCAUGAUCGCUAUCAUAUUCAAUGUUGCAGGUUGAAUUUUCUUCAGUUGGAACAGGUAUUUUAAACUUUGAAUGGGCAGUUCUACCUCCUGGGAGUAAAAGAGAUGCUAUACCACUUGAUGCAACUGUCAAGACAAUUUGCAAUUUGCAUCUUAAUGCACUGGCAAGUGUUUGCCAC
rnacentral:lncRNA from 1 species